UACGUAGGGUGCAAGCGUUAAUCGGAAUUACUGGGCGUAAAGCGUGCGCAGGCGGUUAUGCAAGACAGAUGUGAAAUCCCCGGGCUCCAACCUGGGAACUGCAUUUGUGACUGCAUGGCUAGAGUACGGUAGAGGGGGAUGGAAUUCCGCGUGUAGCAGUGAAAUGCGUAGAUAUGCGGAGGAACACCGAUGGCGAAGGCAAUCCCCUGGACCUGUACUGACGCUCAUGCACGAAAGCGUGGGGAGCAAACGAGG
rnacentral:rRNA from 1 species